UACGGAGGGUGCAAGCGUUAAUCGGAAUUACUGGGCGUGAAGCGUGCGCAGGCGGUUUGUUAAGUCUGUUGUGAAAUCCCCGGGCUCAACCUGGGAAUGGCAAUGGAUACUGGCUAGCUAGAGUGUGUCAGAGGAUGGUGGAAUUCCCGGUGUAGCGGUGAAAUGCGUAGAGAUCGGGAGGAACAUCAGUGGCGAAGGCGGCCAUCUGGGACAACACUGACGCUGAAGCACGAAAGCGUGGGGAGCAAACAGG
rnacentral:rRNA from 1 species